rnacentral:rRNA from 1 species
CAGUAGCCGCGGGAAUACGUAGGGUGCGAGCGUUAAUCGGAAUUACUGGGCGUAAAGCGUGCGCAGGCGGUUUUGUAAGACAGAGGUGAAAUCCCCGGGCUCAACCUGGGAACUGCCUUUGUGACUGCAAGGCUAGAGUACGGCAGAGGGGGAUGGAAUUCCGCGUGUAGCAGUGAAAUGCGUAGAUAUGCGGAGGAACACCGAUGGCGAAGGCAAUCCCCUGGGCCUGUACUGACGCUCAUGCACGAAAGCGUGGGGAGCAAAAAGGAUUAGAUACCCCCGUAGUCCCUGUCUCUUAUAC